AAUCUUACCAAGGGAGAAGUAUGCUGUUCCCAAGGGAGCUACUCUGUGCGGAAUGCAGCUGGUGAAACCCUUUUGUCUAAGUCAUACAGUGGAUGCGCUUUUGUAUUUUCUGCAUACGGGUGACAGUAGGAAAGCAUCCCCAAAGAGGAGCAUUCCUUGAGACCAACAACAGCAUUAAUUCAGUGCGCCAGAGUCCUUGGAUCUGGUAUCCUAGAACACCAUUGGCUAUUAAUUUUCUGAGGAUUCUCUUGACACCAGGAGAGCUGUUAUAUUUAGAUGCUUAUCUGCUUUUGACUGCAGUGCAGUACUUGCAAAGAUGUCUUUCAUUUUGAGGCUUAACACAUUAAAUAUCACCUGAUCUGAAGAUGUUUGAGGGUGUAGAGCCUCUGGCAUAGAAUAAAUGUCUUGUCUAAAAAUA